GUGGCGCCUCAAGACCGUACAAAGGGGGACAAAACCUGCAGAUAAGGAUGAUCCAAAAACAGGAAAAGGGAGGCCCUCUGCUUGACAGACAGCUGUGCUACUAUGAAGAUCAGCUGGAUAAUGACCAAAGUCUAGAGGCCAUCUCUUUGAUGAAUCAUACAAGUGAAAGUGAGGUCAUCAUGCAGAAGAUGAGGGCAACGCUUGAAUACAGACAGCGCCUUGUCCAUGAUCCAGAGAGGUCCACCACUGUUCUUUCAGUUUUUCCUUGAUUUCUGGAUACUAAAGGAUUGAUUCUUCAAGACUUCACGCUCCUCUUUGGGUCUGAAACUGCUUCCA